AGCUGGCGUCGGUGUUCCAUAAUGUCCACCCCUGUCUUAACCCUUUAUGCUCCGACUCGACUUGUAAGUCCCAAUUAAUAUUAAGUCAAAUAAAAUUAAAAGUCUUCCAUGAAUUCCAACGGGCCUUUUUACUCAAAAUAUCAUUCACGAAACAUUUUAUCUUUCAAAGGAUUAAUCUCAAUUUUUCCUAACCUUACCUUAUGAUGAUUUUUAUUUCUAGCGAUUAAUAUCUCUUAAGCUCUUUCAUUUAACCUUCUUCUAAUGAUCAGUAGAUGGCAGCACUAUAUAAAUGGUUUGUUCUGCAUCGAUAUGGGUGAACAGUUUCGUCUUACGUUCAGUUUAAAUGGCCAUUUUGCUAAAAAGCUAUUAACGUACUUCCAAGCUUUGUAACAACAGAAUGUUGAUUGAAUAGUGUAUAGACGAAGAAAAUGCUUGACGCCGGAAGAAAUUAAAAUUAUCUGGGAUGAAUUACCAUCUGAUGUUGAAACAUCAGAAGAGGACAGUAGUUCUGACGAAGAUUCACCAGAACAAAAUAAAACAAAUAAUCAAAGUUUGAAUGCGACUAAUAUUCAUAAAAUUUCAGACUUUGAAAGCGAUUCAAGUGAAGACACUGAAAGUGAAGAAAUGACACCAAAAAGAAUUAUGCAAAGUAUAUAUUUGUGUUAAUGAAAAAAAGAACUGCCUUUAUCAAUACCAUAAUUAAUUGUAUAAAAAUAUAUUACUUUUCAUUUAUAUUUAAUAUUUUUUCUUCUUCAUACUAAUGAAUGUAAUGGUAAUGUAAUAAACAUAAAUCCCAAUGGGACUAAGUCCCGUGUAAUAUUCUGUGUUAUUACAAUAAAAAUAAUUAUUGUAAAUGAA